UAAGACAGAGGGUGCAAACGUUGUUCGGAAUUACUGGGCGUAAAGCGCGUGUAGGCGGUUCGGAAAGUCGGGUGUGAAAGCCCUGGGCUCAACCCAGGAAGUGCACCCGAAACUCUCGAGCUGGAGUCCUGGAGAGGAAGGCGGAAUUCUCGGUGUAGAGGUGAAAUUCGUAGAUAUCGAGAGGAACACCGGUGGCGAAGGCGGCCUUCUGGACAGUGACUGACGCUGAGACGCGAAAGCGUGGGGAGCAAACAGGAUUAGAUACCCUGGUAGUCCACGCCGUAAACGAUGGGCGCUAGGUGUCGCGGGCUUUGACCCCUGCGGUGCCGUAGCUAACGCAUUAAGCGCCCCGCCUGGGGAGUACGGCCGCAAGGCUAAAACUCAAAUGAAUUGACGG
rnacentral:rRNA from 1 species